AUUGAACGCUGGCGGCAGGCCUAACACAUGCAAGUCGAGCGGAUGAAGGGAGCUUGCUCCUGGAUUCAGCGGCGGACGGGUGAGUAAUGCCUAGGAAUCUGCCUGGUAGUGGGGGAUAACGUCCGGAAACGGGCGCUAAUACCGCAUACGUCCUGAGGGAGAAAGUGGGGGAUCUUCGGACCUCACGCUAUCAGAUGAGCCUAGGUCGGAUUAGCUAGUUGGUGGGGUAAAGGCCUACCAAGGCGACGAUCCGUAACUGGUCUGAGAGGAUGAUCAGUCACACUGGAACUGAGACACGGUCCCGACUCCUACGGGAAGCAGCAGUGGGGAAUAUUGGACGAUGGGCGAAAGCCUGAUCCAGCCAUGCCGCGUGUGUGAAGAAGGUCUUCGGAUUGUAAAGCACUUUAAGUUGGGAGGAAGGGCAGUAAGUUAAUACCUUGCUGUUUUGACGUUACCAACAGAAUAAGCACCGGCUAACUUCGUG
rnacentral:rRNA from 1 species